UACGUAGGGUGCAAGCGUUGUCCGGAAUUAUUGGGCGUAAAGAGCUCGUAGGCGGUCUGUCGCGUCGGCUGUGAAAACCCGAGGCUCAACCUCGGGCCUGCAGUCGAUACGGGCAAACUAGAGUACUGCAGGGGAGACUGGAAUUCCUGGUGUAGCGGUGAAAUGCGCAGAUAUCAGGAGGAACACCAAUUGCGAAGGCAGGUCUCUGGGCAUUAACUGACGCUGAGGAGCGAAAGCAUGGGGAGCGAACAGG
rnacentral:rRNA from 1 species